GUAAUAGAGGUGCGGUUAAAAAGAGUAUCAAUUUUGAGAUUGACAAGUCGAUGAAGAAUUGUGAAAGGGUUAAUCGCCGAAGCCAAUGUAUGUCAAAACAUUGAGCUGGGGCUUAAUUUAAUAAAUUAAGAACUCUCACUUUUUUAUAAAGUGAAGGAGCUA
rnacentral:ncRNA from 1 species